AGAGUUUGAUCAUGGCUCAGAACGAACGCUGGCGGCAGGCUUAACACAUGCAAGUCGAGCGCCCCGCAAGGGGAGCGGCAGACGGGUGAGUAACGCGUGGGAACGUACCAUUUGCUACGGAAUAACUCAGGGAAACUUGUGCUAAUACCGUAUGAGCCCGAAAGGGGAAAGAUUUAUCGGCAAAUGAUCGGCCCGCGUUGGAUUAGCUAGUUGGUGGGGUAAAGGCCUACCAAGGCGACGAUCCAUAGCUGGUCUGAGAGGAUGAUCAGCCACACUGGGACUGAGACACGGCCCAGACUCCUACGGGAGGCAGCAGUGGGGAAUAUUGGACAAUGGGCGCAAGCCUGAUCCAGCCAUGCCGCGUGAGUGAUGAAGGCCCUAGGGUUGUAAAGCUCUUUCACCGGUGAAGAUAAUGACGGUAACCGGAGAAGAAGCCCCGGCUACUUCGUGCCAGCAGCCGCGGUAAUACGAAGGGGGCUAGCGUUGUUCGGAUUUACUGGGCGUAAAGCGCACGUAGGCGGGCUAAUAAGUCAGGGGUGAAAUCCCGGGGCUCAACCCCGGAACUGCCUUUGAUACUGUUAGUCUUGAGUAUGGUAGAGGUGAGUGGAAUUCCGAGUGUAGAGGUGAAAUUCGUAGAUAUUCGGAGGAACACCAGUGGCGAAGGCGGCUCACUGGACCAUUACUGACGCUGAGGUGCGAAAGCGUGGGGAGAAACAGGAUUAGAUACCCNNGUAGUCC
rnacentral:rRNA from 1 species